UACUCACAUAUAUAUAUAUAUAUAGAGGGAGAGAGAAAGAGUUGAACUAGAAUACUCUCAAAAGCACCAAGAGGGUGAUGUUUUCGAGUUUUUAAUUAUUGAAUGGAGAGAUGUAGGGUUUAAAUGAUGAUGGUAGGAGAUGGUAGGUAGAAUAUUGUUUGAUUCAAGAAGUAUUAGUAAUUAAGGAGUAGAUCUAAGGGCUAGAAACUUAAAAGCACUAAAGAGUUGGUACUUCUAAAAGUAUUCUAGCUCAAUUAUAUAUAUAUAUAUAUAUAUAGAGUCCGGCUACUAUACUCUUAUGAGUACGAUCACCCUCAUACUCAUAAGUUGUUUUCGAUGAUAGAGCUUUCGAAACGACAAUCCACACCGUUAAACGUUAUCUAGAGCAUUUAAAACUAUUAGAAAUUAAAUUUCAUAAUUUUUCGACAUCAUUUACCUUACAAUCAAAAGCUCACAAAAUUGACAAUUUUUAACGGCCGGUAUGGAAUACUUGCUAGUUUAACGGUAGAAAAGAAUCGGAAUAGGUUGAAAUUUUGAUAGAAAAUUCUAUUAACUACCUAGAUAAAAAUCAAUAACUCCGAUCUUAAAUUAAAGGAUCCGAUCAUCCAUUUUUAGGACGUCGUUCGAUUUUGACCAUUCAUUUUAUGCCCACUUGAUGGACUUUAUUAUGAUUUCGAAAAAUUACGAAAUUUAUUUUCUAGAAGUUUCAAAUACUCUACAUCAUAUUUAACGGAGUGGAUCGUCGAUUCGGAAACUCCAUCAUCGAAAACAAUUUAUGAGUACUAAGAGCCCACUACUCAUAAUAGUAUAGUAGCCCUACUCUCUUUCUCUCUCUCUCUCUCUAUAUAUAUAUAUAU
rnacentral:lncRNA from 1 species